ensembl:lncRNA
CCUAACCAGAGAGUGAGACGCCCUCAAGCUGGAGCUGCACAAGAACGGCAAAAGUAAUGAGGACCUGAGGCAGCAGAACUCCGAACUGGAAGAGAAACUUCGAGUCCUGGUGGCAGAGAAAGCAGCUGCACAGUUGGGGGCAGGGGAGCUGCAGAAGAAGUUAGAGAUGUCAGAGCUGCUGCUGCAACAGGUGAGAGGUGCAGCCCUCACCCCUAAGGCCCAGGCACAAAGUCCGUGGGUCCUUGGGGGUGACCUUCGGCCAAGUGUGGACAGUUUGGAACCUCCUCCUGUCCUGUGCUGAUGUUUACUAAUUGCUCAGUGGAGCCCUGGCCACACCUGUGAAUCAGUCUUCGUGAGGGCGAUGUGUCUGUUGCAUCCUUACUUUUAUUUAUUUAUUUAUGUUGUUGAGACAGAGUCUCAAGGGUAGCCCAGGGUGACCUGUAACUCCCCAGGUGAACGAACUCAUGGUAAUCCUCCUACCUAGAGGUUGUAGGCAUGAGCCACCAGGCCUGCUGAAAUGCCAGCAUUCUGUUUCAUUUAAAUGGCCCAACAGCCUGCUUUGCUCCUCCUGACACUUUCUCCUAUGGCAAUGACCCUGGGUUGUCAUCCUAGCUCACACUCUUGUGGGGAGCACUGCAGCAGAACAGCAUAGACUCCCAGACCCAGGCCUCUGGCGGUAAUGAGCAGUUGCAACAGGCCAUAGAGGAGCGGUCUCAGCUGGAGAGCCAUGUUGGCCAGCUGAUGGAGUCGAGAGAGACCAGUAUGCAGAGAACCUGAAAGGAGAGAGUGCCAUGUGGCAGCAGAGGGUACAGCAGAUGGCAGGGUGGCAUGCCUACUGGUAGCUCCUGCAGAUGACUGAGCAUCCCAGAAUUGUACUGGAGUGGUUUGAAAUGCUUACCGCUUAUCUGAGACCCUGACAGAAAAGAAGCCAAGGCUUGGGGCAGGAGCCUGACUCACAAUGGAGCCCAAGAAGCCUAAGGUGAAUUCCUUCAGUGGGCCAGCUUCCUUUCUCAGAGAAGCUGCAAUCUCCAGAGCCUCCCCCUGGGCCCUCCAAGGCAGAAGAGUGGCUGCAGGGAGAGGUUGAGCAGCUGCAGAAGGAACUGGAGGGUCUGACAGGUCAGCUGCGGGCCCAGGUGCAGGACAAUGAGAGCCUGAGCCACCUGAACCGGGAGCGGGAGGGGCGGCUGCUGGAGCUGGAGCUGGAGAGCGAGGCCCAGCAGUGGAGCGAGCAGAUCCUGGAGAGCAUGCAGAGUGACCGCACCACUGUCACAGAACCGCGAGCUCAAGGAGCAGCUGGCUGAGCUGCAGAACGGCUUCUUCAGGCUGGUGCGGAGCCUGCAGGCCCUCCUUGCUUACAGGGAACACACUCACCCCUUUUGGUCAGCACCGGCAGAGGAUGGGGUGCUGUCCGCCUCACGUUAGGUGGUAGUGGUGAAGGCACCCCACAAUCCCGAGCCCUAGGGUGUGUGGGAAUGUUCCAGCAGCCUUCCCUACUCUGAGAGUGAGUACACAUGCAAUUCUGAGGACUUCAGCCACAUUAGGUCCUACUGACUGUUGUUUUCUGUCCAGACCAAUGAAAACAUGGAAAUUACCAGUGUGUUACAAUCAGAGCAGCAUGUCAAGAAAGAACUGGCCAGGAAGCUGGGAGAGCUUUAGGAGAGGCUGGGAGAGCUGUAGGAGAGGGUAAACCCCUGGAGGUGGAGGCAAGAAGAACUAGAGUCCAACAUUAUUACCCUUAGCUAUAUAGUGGGCUCAGCAUGAACUCCAGGAAACCCUGCCUCAAAAAAAAAAAAAAAAAAAAAAAUCACAUACGACAGGCUGGCCAGGUGACUCAGUGGAUGAAAGUGCUUGCUGCACAAACCUGGUGACACGAGUUCAAUCCCCGGAACCUAUGUAAGGUGAGAGAGAACCGAAGCCAUAAAGUGUCCUAUCUGGAAGACCGUUAGAGCAGUAAGUAAGUAGUGUGCAGGAAGGCACUCCUACUCUGCUCACCGAGACACUUCAGAGCUCUCAGGCCCUGCCUGGCCUGGCAUGUUGUCGUCCAGUUCUCUUCAGUGGGCAGUCUGCAGGGUUGAGAGUGUUCCCAGGGCACAGAGCACAAAGACUCCAUCUGGCCCCGGGCAGUGCCCAGACGCUGCCCGCCCCCUGUUUUGCACCAGCCUGAACUCUGCCUAUGUCUGCUGACCCCUGGCAUUCCUGCAGAGACCCCCACGAGGCAGAAACAGUCAGGGCUUUCAGAGUGUCUGCCCGCUGGAGGGAUGAAUAUCUCUGAGAUUAUCUGCCAUGAAUGCAGGGUGGCCCUUCACGUGACUAAGGUUGGCUGGCUCUGCCCUAGCCCUUGACGUUUGGCUCCAGAGCCCUCAUUCCAACGGGGGUUGGGGGGGGUAGGACAGAAACCUUAUUCUCUUCUUGAAAGGGAGGCCCCCAUACCCCUAUCUGUACAGAACCCUACCCCCAGCCUCAAUCACCCCUCACCCCCACACAGGGCCUGGAGUUUCCCUGUUUAUGGCUUGGCACCGGAGCAGAUCCAAAGUCAAGCUCCCCGAGCUCUUUGAAGGCGGGCAUUUAUUGGUAGGGAAAGCCACUGUUCCCAGGAUGUCCACCCAGCCUGCUCUGGCUUUUCUGGAUAAAGUCCUGAUGGGUCCUAACAGCUGCCACCGCCUGGAUAAGCCCCUCGUGGGACAGCUGGGCUUUUGGAGACUCUGCCCUGCAGAACCCGGGCAUUUGGCCUGGUCUCUAAUAUCAUUUUCCCCAUCUGUAAAGUGGGGUGAUGAUGUUCCUGAUCUCCCAGGAAUAUUCUAAGAUUAAAAUGGGUUCUUGGAUGUGAAAAGGCUCUGUGUGGGGCCCAUGGAAGACACUUAGAAAUACAAGGCACAGAGAACCCUAACUAAUCUGAAAUGCUAAACCAGGCUGGUGCCCUCUACCUGCCCUCUUAGGACCUCAGAUUAGAGCAGGGCCACUGUGAACAGUGAACAAACAUGAGAUAAGUAGACCACCGUGGUAGCCUUGCUGUCUUAAUUAAAUUUCUACUGCUGUGACG